CCUAAGACAUGCAAGUCGAACGAGAUGGCCCAGUGAAAGUUGCGUGCUUGCACAAGACUGGAUCUGGAUUACCAUCUAGUGGCAGACGGGUGAGUAACACGUGGGUGACCUGCCUUUUCGUUGGGGAUAACAGUUGGAAACGACUGCUAAUACCGAAUAAGAUAUAAGAGUCAAUUUUAUAUUGAAAGGAGCCUUUAAAGCUUCGCGAUUAGAUGGGCCUGCGGCGUAUUAACUUGUUGGUGAGGUAAUGGCUCACCAAGGUAACGAUGCGUAGCCGAACUGAGAGGUUGAUCGGCCACACUGGGACUGAGACACGGCCCAGACUCCUACGGGAGACAGCAGUUAGGAAUAUUCGUCAAUGGGGGAAACCCUGAACGAGCAAUGCCGCGUGAGUGAUGAAGGUCUUAUAGAUUGUAAAACUCUGUUGUAUGGAAAAAUGACCAGGUUAGGAAAUGAACUUGGUGUGAUGGUACCAUACCAGAAAGCCACGGCUAACUACGUG
rnacentral:rRNA from 1 species